rnacentral:rRNA from 1 species
CCCUUAGAUGUUCUGGGCUGCACACGUGCUACACUGGCAGGUUCAGCGAGCUUCAUGCCCUGAUCUGAAAGGAAUGGGAAAUCUUUUCAAAACCUGCCGUGCUUGGGAUAGAUGUUUGCAAUUAUUAAUCUUCAACGAGGAAUGCCUAGUAAGCGUGAUUCAUCAAAUCGCGUUGAUUACGUCCCUGCCCUUUGUACACACCGCCCGUCGCUCCUACCGAUUGAAUGUGUUGGUGAGGAGCUCGGAUUGGCAGCAGUUGGUGGUUCGCCACCGGCUAUUGCUGAGAAGUCCUCCAAACCGCCCCAUUUAGAGGAAGGAGAAGUCGUAACA